rnacentral:lncRNA from 10 species
CUGGAUUUGGGAAACAGCUGGUACGUAUAACUAUGCCAUUUUCCUACCCAAACAUUAACAUGUCUUCCUGUGAUUUUUAGGGUAGGGUAGUUCUAUCCAGGGGUAAUUUUGUCCUCUGUCCCAAGGUCAUCUGUCAAUGUCUGGGGACACUUUUGGUUGUCAUACCUUGGGGGUGAUGUGUGUGACUGGCAUCUGGUGGAUGGAGACCAGGGAUACAGCUCAACAUCCUACAGUGCCCAGGACAGCCUCCCACAAUCAAGAAGUGCCUAGUGCCACAUGUCCAUAGAGAUAGAGAAAUACAAGCGUAGGGGGAAAGUGCCUCAGCUGGCAUUCAAAGACCUACAUCAAGCACCUAGAUUCUCAAUGCCACACGCACCUUGUAGCACCUUAAUAAAUAUCGUUGCCUUCUGGGCUCCCCACUCCAACACUUGUGCAUAUUCCCUAUUUCUUACAUUUCAGUAAGAGUCAAUCUAAUUAGCUUAAUUUUUUUGGAAGGAAAAUCUGAGAAGAAAUGGAAGCAGAGAGGACUUUGCAAGAAGGGCUACUCAACUAAUUCAAAGCGUGGAGUUGAGCAUCUGGAAUGCGAGUUUUGCUUCUCCAGGAAAGGGUCAAAUUUCUGAAUUUGAUAUAGAGAGCACUGCAGUUGCCCUAUCACUUAUCAAUCUCUUGGGGAUAUUCUGAAUGCAUCCUUUUUUAGUAAACGAAAAGGGAUGCAGGAAGUAAAACUGAACUCUUACGUUGUGAGCGGCACCGUCGGUUUGAAGGAAAAAAUUUCCCUCUCUGAACCUGUGUUCCUGACUUUUCGCCAUAAUCAGUAAAGCUCAGGAAGAAAGGAAGUGUUGAGGCAUCCAGAGCUUGCCACAGUGAGAUGCCAUUCUCACGUUGAAGCCAAAAGGCAAUGGAGGAGAAGCUCUAUUGAGCUCAGUGGAAGCUGGAGGCAGGAAUGAGGGAUCGCUCUGCAGAAACUGGAGAUGGCUCAAAGCAGAAAGGGCACAGGGAAGAAAUACUUUAUU